ACAGGGAACUCCUGGAAGAUUUUACAAGAAAGUAAUAUUACUCAAUUCCAUCUUUAAAAAAGUUAAUGCCAGCAGUAAAGGGAAUGAUAAAAAAGAACAAAAACUUUGUGGUCAGAGGAACAAGUUGGGAAGUUAUUUCAAUAAUCCAGAUGAAAAUUUCCAUCAUAGUCUCACUGUGGGAGAACAGAUGUCUGCAGUUUGAGUAACCAUCUGGAGACACAGGAUGGGAGCCAUCCCUGAGCACGGCAGAGGGAGAAGAUCCGAGGUUGCUUCACUAUCAUCUUCGCACACAGGGCCAAGCCGGGAUUUAACUGCACAAAAGCAAAAUGGUGUCUCGUGGAGUUCUGCAUAUACAUAGAAUUAAAAUAUAUUACCACAGAAUCACAAAAGCUUAAAUGGUCUAUGAUCCUCGCUUGUCUGGCAUGAGGUUUCAAACUCCAGGGUUCAACGGAUCCUCCUGACUCAGCCUCCCAAGUAGCUGGGACUACAUGCGUACCUCCUACAUCCACUCCCAGAAAGGGUCUUUAUAUGUUUAUUGUCAACACAAUAAAGGUCACUGUUCUUUGAAA